AGUAACACGUGAGUAACCUGCCCCCUUCUUCGGGAUAAGCGCUUGAAAGGGUGUCUAAUACUGGGUAUUCUGCCUGCCUCGCAUGGGGUGGGUUGGAAAGCUUUUGUGGUGGGGGAUGGGCUCGCGGCUUAUCAGCUUGUUGGUGGGGUAAUGGCUUACCAAGGCUUUGACGGGUAACCGGCCUGAGAGGGUGGUCGGUCACAUUGGGACUGAGAUACGGCCCAGACUCCUACGGGAGGCAGCAGUGGGGAAUAUUGCACAAUGGGCGAAAGCCUGAUGCAGCGACGCCGCGUGAGGGAUGAAGGCCUUCGGGUUGUAAACCUUUUUCGCUCUUGACCAAGGACAUGAUUGGUCAUGUUUGAGGGUAUGGGGUAAAGAAGCACCGGCUAACUACGUGCCAGUAGCCGCGGUAAUACGUAGGGUGCGAGCGUUGUCCGGAAUUAUUGGGCGUAAAGGGCUUGUAUGUGGCGUGUCGCGUCUGGUCGUGAAAUGCCUCGGCUUAACCGGGGCAGUGCGGUGGGUACGGGCCAUGCUUGAGUGUGGUAAGGGAGAUUGGAAUUCCUGGUGUAGCGGUGGAAUGCGCAGAUAUCAGGAGGAACACCGGUGGCGAAGGCGGAUCUCUGGGCCAUUACUUACGCUGAGGAGCGAAAGCGUGGGGAGCGAACAGGAUUAGAUACCCUGGUAGUCCACGCUGUAAACGUUGGGCACUAGGUGUGGAGACUGUUGUGGUUUCUGCGCCGUAGCUAACGCAUUAAGUGCCCCGCCUGGGGAGUACGGCCGCAAGGCUAAAACUCAAAGGAAUUGACGGGGGCCCGCACAAGCGGCGGAGCAUGCGGAUUAAUUCGAGGCAACGCGA
rnacentral:rRNA from 1 species